rnacentral:rRNA from 1 species
UACGAAGGGGGGCUAGCGUUGCUCGGAAUUACUGGGCGUAAAGGGCGCGUAGGCGGAUGUUUAAGUCGGGGGUGAAAGCCCGGGGCUCAACCCCGGAAUUGCCUUCGAUACUGGACAUCUUGAGUACGGGAGAGGUGAGUGGAACUCCGAGUGUAGAGGUGAAAUUCGUAGAUAUUCGGAAGAACACCAGUGGCGAAGGCGACUCACUGGCCCGUUACUGACGCUGAGGCGCGAAAGCGUGGGGAGCAAACAGG